GUUUCUUAUUUAAUAAGACGGUUGGUUACAUCUAUAGAUGCCAUUGAUCCCUGCUGCCUUUGUUAAACAUAUGCAUGUCCAUGAGUGGACCUACCAUGCUAUUUCUACUAUUUUGGAAGUCAUGUUGAUGAAGGUUCUUUCUUGCUCAUGGAUCUGAUGUUGAAGUCUGUCAUUCACCCUGUCAGCUGAGACCAUGUAGAUGCAAGAGUUCUGUGUUGCCAACAUGAAGAAUGUUAAUUUUAUGAUCACAACUACCAGUGAAACCAUGUUGUUAUCCAUUCUACAUGAUGCUGCCUGAAACCAUGUGGAUUUAAUUGAUCCUUGCUGUCUGUUAACCAUAUGGAUGUCUAUGAUCAGAACUACAAAGCUGCUACUUCUGGAAGCAACGUUGAUGCUCAUGAUCUUCUUACCACUGGACACCAGGUUGAUUUCCAUGAUCUCUCCUGUUAUGUGUGAUCAUGUUAAGGUAAGUGUUCCCUUUUGGCAAUGUGUAGAAUGGUAAUUCCCAAGAUUUAACCACAUGUUGAUAACUAAGCAGAUAUCCAUAAUUCAUGCUGCCACCUGCACCCACACUGAUGCCAUUGAUCCCUGCUGCCUCUGUUAACCCUAUUGAUGUCUAUGAAUGGACCUCCUAUGCAUUCCUAUUGUUUCAGUAAUCCAUGUUGAUGCAUAUGGUCCAUUUUACCACUGGAUAGUGUCCUGAUGGCUAAAAACUCUCUGUCCCCAUAUGACUAUAUUUGGGUAAGUGUUCUAUGUUACAAAUGUCAAGAAUGUAAAUUUCUAAGAAUUGAUCUACCAACUGAAACUAGUAUGAUAUCCGGAAUGCAUGCUGUCACCUCUGAACAAAUUGAUGUCAUUGAUCCCUGCCAUGAAACACUUGGAUGUCCAGGACUAUCCUACGAUGCUAUUCCUACUAUUUCUGGAAGCCAUGUUGAUGCCAGGGUUCUUUUUUGCCCAUGGGUCUGAUGUUGAUUUUCAUCAUCUGUCCUGCUACCUGAGACCAUGUUGAUUCAAGAGUUCCAUCUUGCCAAUAUGAAGAGUGUUGAUUUCCCUGUUGACAGCUACUAGCAUCUUAAACCAUGUUGCUGUCCAUUCUACAUGCUAUCACCUGAAACCAUGUGGUUUAAUUGAUCCCUGCUGCCUCUGUAAACUGUAUGGAUGUCCAUGACUGGAACUAGAGUGCUAUUCCUACUAUUUCUGGAAGCAAUGUGAUACGAUUUUUUAAACCACUGGACACCAGGUGGAUUUCCAUGAUCUCUCCUGCUACCUGUGACCAUGUUAAGGUAAGUGUUGCUUGUUGCCAAUGUGUAGAAUGUUAAUUCCCAAUAUUUAUCCAAACAGUGGUAACUAAGCUGAUAUCCAUAAUUCGUGCUGCCACUUCCUACCAUGCUGCUGCCAUUGAUUCCUGCUGCUUCUGUUAACCCUGUUGAUAUCAGUGGGCCUCCAAUGCAUUCCUAUUGGUUCUAAAGCCAUGUUGAUGCAUGUGGUCCUUGUUUGCACAGGAUAACAUCUUGAUGGCCAUGACCUCUCCUUUUCCUUAGGAGCAUUGUUUGUUUCCUUAGGUAAGUAUUGUUUGUUUCUAAUGUGAAGAGUUUCAGUUUCCAAGAAUUGAAAUAUCAGCUGAAACUAAGUUGACAUCGGAAUGCAUGCUGCCAUCUCAAACAAGUUGAUGUCUUCUCUCCUUGCUGUGUCUGUUAAACAUUUGGAUGACCAUGAGCAGACCUAUCAUGCUAUUCCUAUUAUUUCUGGAAGCCAUGUUAAUUCCAGGAUUCAUUCUUGCCCAUGGAUCUGAUAUUGAUGUCCAUCAUCUGUCCUGUUACUUGAGACCAUGUUGAUGCAAGAGUUCUGUGUUGCCAACAUGAAGAAUGUUAAUUUCCCUGAUCUCAGCUACCAUCUAAACUAUGUUGCUGUCCAUUCUACAUACUGCCACUUGCGAUCAUGAGGAUUUAAUCGAUCCCUGCUGCCUCUGUUAACCAUAUGGAUGUCCAUGAUCAGAACUAGAGUGCUAUUCCUACUACUUCUGGAAGCAAUGCAAUACUCAGGAUCUUCUUACCACUGGACACCAGGUUGAUUUUUAUGAUCACUCCUGCUACUAGUCACCACCUUAAGGUUCCUUGUUACCAAUGUGUAGAAUGGUAAUUUCCAAGAAUAACCAACUGUUGGUAACUAAGUUGAUAUGCAUAAUUCAUGCUGCCACCUGCCCCCAUGCUGAUGUCAUUGAUUAGUGCUGCCUCUGCAAACCCUGUUGAUAUUAAUGAAGGGAUCUCCCAUGCAUUCUUAUUGCUUCUGCAAGCCAUUUUGAUGCAUGUGGUCCUUUUUACAAUGGGAUAACAUCUUGAUUGCCAUGAAUUCUCUACCCCUAUGACCUCUCCUUAUUAUUAAGGUAAUAAUAUUAAGGUAAGUGUUCUCUGUUGCCAAUGUGAAGAAUGUAAUUUCCAAGAAUUGAAAUACCAACUGAAACUAGUAUGAUAUCCUGAAUACAUGCUGCUACCUCCACACAAGUUGAUGUCAUUGAUCCCUGCUGACUCUGUUAAUCAUGUGGAUGUCCAUGAUUGGAACUACAAAGCUAUUCCUACUCCUUCUGGAAGCAGUGUUGAUGCUCAUGAUAUUCUUACCACUGGACACCAGGUGGAUUCCAUGAUCUCUCCUGCUACCUGUGACCAAGUCAAGGUAAGUGUUCCUUCUUGGCAAUGUGUAGAAUGGUAGUUUUCAAGAUUUAACAUUGGUAACUAAGCAGGUAUUUAUAAUUCAUGCUGCCACCUGCUACCAUGCUAAUGCCAUUGAUCCUUGUGCCUCUGUUAACCUUGUUGAUGUCUAUGAAUGCACCUCCAAUGCAUUCCUAUUGGUUCUGUAAGCCAUGUUGAUGCAUGUGGUCUUUGUUGCCAUGAGAAAUAUCUUGAUGGCCAAGACCUCUUUGGCCCCUUAUGACCAUCUUAAGUUAAGUGUUCUGUGUUGCCAAUGUGAAGAAUUUCCAAGAAUUGAAAUACCAGCUGAAACUCAGUUGAUAUCCAGAAUACUUGCUGCUACCUCCAAACAAGUUGCUGUCACUGAUCCCUGCUGCCUCUGUCAAUCAUGUGAAUGUCCAUGAGUGGACCUGCUAUUUCUGGAAGCCAUGUUGAUGCCAGGGUUCUUCUUGCCCAUGGAUCUGAUGUUGAAGUCCAUCAUCUGUCCUGCUACCUGAGAACAUGUUGGUGCAAGAGUUCUGUCUUUCCAACAUGAAGAAUGUUAAUUUCCCUGAUCUAAACUACCAUUGGAAAAGAUGUGGCUAUCCAUUCUACAUGCUGCUACCUGAAACCAGGUGGAUUUGCCCUGCUGCCUCAGUAAACCAUAUGGAUGUCCAUGAUCAGAUUAUGCUAUUCCUACUACUUCUGGAAACAGUGUUGAUGCUCAUGAUCUGCUUACCACUGGACACUAGGUUGAUUCCAUGAUCUCUCCUGCUACCUGUGACCAUGUUAAUAUAAGUGUUGCUUGUUGCCAAUGUGUAGAAUGUUAAUUUCUAAGAUUUAACCAAGCAUUGCUAAGUAAGCAGAUACACAUAAUUCAUGCUGUCGCCUGCACCAUGCUGUUCCCUCUGUUAACCCUGUAGAUGACCAUGAAUGGACCUCUCAUGCAUUCCUAAUGGUUCUGUAAGCCAUGUUGAUGUAAGUGGUCCUUGUUACCAUGGGAUAACAUCAUGAUUGCCAUGACCUCUUUUGCCUUGUAUGACCAUAAUAAAUUUUCUGUGUUGCCAAUGUGAAGAAUGUAAAUUUCCAAGAAUUGAAAUACCAACAGAAACUAAGUUAAUAUCCUAAAUGCAUGCUGCUCCUGCUAAAUAAGUUGAUAUCGUUGAUCCCUGUUGCAUUUGUUAAACAUGUGGAUGUUGGUGAUCAGAAGUACAAGGCUAUUCCUACUGCUUCUGGAAGCAAUGUUGAUGUUCAUGAUCUUCUUACCACUGGAUACCAAAUUGAUUUCCAUGAUCUCUCCUGCUAUGAGUGACCAAGGUAAGUGUUCCUUGUUGCCAAUGUGUAGAAUAGUAAUUCCCAAGAUUUAAUGAACCUUUGGUAACUUAGCAGAUAUUCAUAAUUCAUGCUGCCACCUGCACCCAUGCUGAUGCCAUUGAUCCCUGCUGCCUCUGUUAACCCUGUUGAUGUCUAUGAAUGGACUCUCAUGCAUUCCUAUUGGUUCUGAAGCCAUGUUGAUGCUUGUGGUCCUUGUUUCCAUGGGAUAACAUCUUGAUGGCCAUGAUCUCUCUGGCCCCUUAUGAACAUAUUAGUGUUCUAUGUUGCCAACAUGAGGAAUAUAAAUUUCCAAGAACAGAAAUACCAACCAAAACUAAGUUGAUAUCCACAAUGCAUGGUGCCACCUCCAAACAUGUUGAAGUCAUUGAUAUCUCUCCUGCCUCUGUUAGACACAUUGAUGUUUAUGAUUGGAAUUAUAAUGAUAUUCCUACGACAUUUGGAAUCCACGAUGAUGCCCAUUAUUUUUGUACCAGUAGAUACCAUAUUGAUUCCUGUGAUCUCUCCUGCUGUCUUUGACCUUGUUAAAUUAUAUAUUCUGUGCUGCCAACAUGAAGAAUGUUAAGUUCCAAGAUUUAACCAUUGAAAUGUUAAUUUCCAAGAUUUCAUCAGUCUUGGAAACUAAUUUUAUAUUCAUAAUCCCCGGUGUAACCUGCAUCCAUGGUCAUUUUAUUGAUUCCUGCUGCCCCUGUUAACCAUGUUGAUGUCGAUGAUCAGAACUUCCAUGCUAUUCCUAUUGGUUCUGGAAGCCAUGUUGAUGGCCAUCGUACCACUUGUUACCACUGGAAAACAUCUUGAUAUGGAUGACCUGUCUGGACACUGGUGACUAUAUUAAGGUAAAUGUUCUGUGUUACCAGUGUGAACAAUGUAGAUUUGCAAGAAUUAAACUACCAUCUGAAACUAAGUUCAUACCCAUAGUUCAUGCUGCCCGCAGACAAGUUGAUGCCAGUGUUCCCGCGGCCUCUGUUAAGCAUUUUGAUAUCCACGAUCAGAUAGUCCAUGGAGUUCCUACUAUUUCUGGGAUCCAGGUCAAUGCCUGUGGUCCUUCUUACUCCUCGAUAGGAAGUUUAUGCCCAUCUUUCCUGCCAUUGUGUUGCCAAUGAGAAAAAUGUCAAUUUUCAAAAUUUAAUCUACAAUCUGAAAAUAAGUUGAUAUCCAUGUUUCAUCCUGCCACCUGCAACCACAUUGAUGUCAUUGAUCCCACAUGCCUCUGUUAACCAGAUUGAUGUCCAACAUAGGACCUACCAUGCUAUUCCCACUAUUUCUGGAAGCUAUGUUGAUGCCUGUGGUCCUUCUUAUCACUGCAUACAUUGUUGAUUUCCAACAUCUCUCCUGCCCCUUGUGACCACAUUAAAGUAAGUGUUCUGUGUUGCCAAUAUGCAAAUUGUUAAUUUCCAAGAUUUAACCCACCAUCCAAAAGUAAGAUGAAAUCCAUAAUUCAUGAUGCCUCCUGAAACCAUGUUGAUGUCUUUGAUUCCAAGUGCCUCUGUUAAUCAAAUGGAUGUCCAUUAUGGGAUGGACCUACUAUGUUAUUCCUAUUUCUGGAAGUCUUGUUGAUGCUUGUGGUCUUUCUUACCCAUGGAUAUGACAUUGAUGUCCAUCAUCUCUUCUGUCACCUGAGACCAUGUUGAUGCAAGAGUUCUGUGUUGCCAUCAUGAUGAGUGUUAAUUUCCGUGAUCUCAACUACCAUGUGAACUAGGUUGAUAUCUAUAGUACAUGCUGCCACCUGUAAUGUCAUUGAUGUUCCUGCCGCCUGCUGCCUCCUUUUCCAUGUUGAUGUCUAUCAUGAGCCUUACCAUGCCAUUCCUGUUGGUUUGAAGGCCAUGUUGAUACCUUGUGUUACGUUUUGCUCUUGGGUAAGAUGCUGAUGUUGAUGGUCUGUCCUGCCACCCAAGACCAUGCUGAGGUAAGUUUUCUGUGUUGCCAACAUGAAGAAUAUUGAUUUCCAUGAGUUGAUCUGAACCUAAGUUGAUAUCUGCAAUUCAUUCUGUCCUUGAACCAUGUUGAUAUCACUGAUCCUUGCUCCUUUGUUUAUCAUGUUGAUUACCACGAUCUGACCGACCAUGCUGCCUCUACUGCUUCUGGAAGCCGUGUUGAUGCCUGUGGUCCUUGGUACCCCUGGAUGUGAUGUUGAUGUUCCGUCCUAACUCCUGAAUCCAUGCUGAGGCCACCAUAUUGAUGUCACUGAUCCUUGCUGCAUGUUUUAACUAUGGUGAUAUCCAUGAUCCAACCCUCCAUUCAAAAUUUUGGUGAUGUCAUAGAUCCUUCUGACUUCUGAGACCAUGUGGUUGUCCUUGUUCCAUCCUGAUACCAGUAACCAUGCUGCUGUCCCUCCUCUAUGCUGCCGCUGUUAACCAUGUUGGUGUCUGGGGUUUGAUCUGCCCCCCAAGCUGUGUUGAUAUCGCUGAUUUGUACUGCCACUGGCGAACAUUUUGACGUCUCUGAUCCUUGCUGCCUGUUAGCUAUGUUGCUGCCCAUGAUCUGCCCCACCACUCAAUCCCUGCUGUUUCCGGAAGCCAUGGUGAUGCCUGUGGUCCUUGUUGCCCCUGGAUACGAUGUUGAUGUCCAUGUUCUGUCCUGACACUUGAGACCACACUGAGGAAAUCAUGUUGAUGUCACUGUUCCUUGCUGCAUCUUCUAACCACGUUGAUCCAACCUACCGUCCAAAACUUUGUUGAUGUUACCGAUCUGUUGACAUCUGUGUUCUGUGCUGCCACCAAAAACCACGCUGGUGUUCAUGGUCUGGACUGCAUGUUGAGGACCAGUUGGAUAUCCAUGACUCAGAUUCUGAUGGAGACUGUGUUGUCAUCUGUGGUCAGUACUGCCACAAGAAGGCAUCCUGGUGUUAGUGAUCAGUGAUGCCUCCCGCAACAUGUUAUGUUGGUGAUCUGUGUUGAAGUUAGGGACCAGAUGGAUGUCAGUUAUCCAAGCUGUCACCAGAAAUCUUGAGGACCAUGACCUGUGCUGCUGCUGGAAAGCAUGUGGACGUCCGUGAUCUGUACUGCCACUGACAUUUCUUGUCAAAGAAGCUUCUUUUGUAGUAGUAUCCAUGGCUGCAGAAUCAUAACUGAAAUGACGACAUCGAAGGCUUCUGUGCCACCCUCUCCAAAAGAAACACUCUAGACAGGACCUUACUGAAGAGAGCCCUUGAAAAUUGUAAUAAAGAUGCUUAAUUGUAGCUCUUCA